rnacentral:lncRNA from 1 species
AUCAUUGAUAAUUUGUUCUCCUGCUUGUUUUUCUUCGUCUCACAUUUUGGUUCUGGUCACCCAGGUUGAGGAAACCUCACGAGAACGAGAAGAGAGACUGAAAACCUGGUCCUCUUUCCUGAGUGAUGAGAGUGCAUCUGCCAAAGCUAAAGCAGACUCUUCAAAAGCAGCUGAACAACAAAAUUCCAGCACACAAGAAACAGCAGAACAGACUCGACAGGAGGAACAUACAAACGAAAGCACUGCAGAACCGCAAGAGGGGAAAGAUGAGAAGGAUGAGAAGGAGCAUGACGAGGAUGAUGGAGAACAGAGUGUUAAAGCGCUCAGAGGACUGUAAAGAUCCUCCUCAGCUCUUUACAUACUAUCAAGGCGACAUCAACACUGCAGUGGAUGAGCACUUUUUCCGUGCCCUGAAUAAAGCAACCACACCAAAAGACCUCAGUACUAAAGCCAAGGACAGCAAUAGGACUCCCAAAUCUGGUGCGUUAAUCUGUCUGUUUGUCUAUCUAUCCAUCUGUCUGUCUAAUGCAUUUCUUAUCCCAGAUGUACCAUCAUCAUCAUGGGCUUCUUCUGGCCUAACAUGGCCCAAGUCCACACACUCUUCCGGUUCCUCAAAGCUGACCCAAUUGACAUCCAUGGAACCUACACCUCCAUCCCAGGGAGUUAUUGUGAAUCCCUCAGUACUAUCAUCAUCAUCGUCAUCCCUCUGGCCAUGUCCAUCCAGACAGGGCACAGCAUUCGAACUGCCUCAAAUACUCUACCAACAGCCCAUAGCUGCUGAGAGCAGUGCCAACUCUUACCUGAACCUGUUACAAAUGGAUCGGCCAACAGGGGGCAUCAUGAUCUCGCCCUUCUCAAAAUCAGACACCAGACCAGAGUGGAAUACUGGGACGGCCUUUAAGGAUGGAAGCAGGAUCGGCCUAGAUUCAGGUGUGCCUGUCUCAGAAAUACCUAAGGAUUUGUACUGGUAUUGAAGAAGCGAUUUCUGGCUCUAUGAUCAAAAAUAUAUUUUCAGCACAAGACUGACUGUGUUUACAUUAUUAUGUAAGCUUAAGAAUUCUGUGCUUUUGGACAUCUGGCAUAGUGACUCAAAACAUUAUAUUCAUGGUAUCAGACAUUCCUCAGAGAUAAAUGGCAGUUAAUUACUUAUUUUAGCCGUGAGCAUGUGAAGAAUCUUGUAGUAGGACAUAAGAUAAUACCUGAUUGAAAAUAAUUAACUUCUCUUAACUAUUUAAUGGGUGAAUGAGGAAGUAACGUCUAUUUGUAUGAUUUGUAAUACAAUUAUAGUUUUACAAAACCUACUUUACACUUUUUCCCUCAAGCAGUGAUGUAUUUCCCUGUCACAAGCCCUCACUUUUGAUGUAUGAGUAUGACAAAACAGCUAAAGUCUUUGCACAAAACAGCUAAAGGCUUUGAUGAAUUUCCUCAAUUAUUUUCAAGAAUAGUAUAAAGAAGUCUAUUUUCAGUAUGAAUAGAGAGGUGAUCUGUUUAAUAAAUCCUACAUGAAAAUUGUCCUUUUGUUCAUACUUUACACAUUUAGACAUUUUCAGCAGGUCUGCAGUUAUACAUUUUUCUUUUUUGUGUUUUUAUUUAUCCACCUUAUUUUUCCCGUAAGAACGGCCAUUUGUACAUUUUAUGGGUCUGGCGUCUGGUGUCAUUCGCUUCCAGCUACAAAACAGUUUGUUUUGCUGCUUGAUAUUGCAAAUCGGUGUGUCUUACCAUAUUAUUUUAAUGUACUAUCUUUAUUAUGAACACACUGGUUUGUAGUGCAAAGAGUUUUACUGUUUAUUCACAGAAAAUGGCUUACUUUCGCAUUGAAAAAUAAGGUGGAUACUUCAUAUUAAUUUCAUUUUUAUUUCACUUCCUUGACAGUCUGUUGUUCACUGGUAUGUUAGGUUUAGCUUUUUACCUUGUUUUUAAAAGACCACUACAAAAAAAUAAAGAAAAAAGUCUGCAUUCUGUAUCUUCUGAUCAAAGCAUAGAUUUGCAUUUAAAGGAGACAUUUCUUUGAGGAUAAAGACUCAACUAUACAUCAAGACUGCCCACACAUUUCUGCAAACUAACCUCACGUGCCUCUGUUUCAAAGUUCAGAAGUGAGAGACAAUGUCUGCUGAGCAACGAUGCCAAAAGGGGAUUCGUCUCCCGUUUCCUUUGGCUGCCCACAAACCUUAAAGCGGCAUAGCCUAACUAUGCACAGAGAGCCAUUAAAUGCAAUGUGUUUUAAAUAUAAAAUAAAUAUAAAUAUAAAAUAAAUACAUUAUAUUUUUUAAGAAAUAAAAAUGUAAUAUUUUUAUUAUAAUAAUUGAAUAUAAAUUUAAUAAUUACAAUAUAUGUUUGCCUGAUUGCUGCAUGUUGUUUCUUCAUGUGCGUUUGUCUUUACCAUCUUCCUCUCACAUCCCUAGAGUGUAUUUGUGAAUGAAGAUAAGAUUUGAGAUGUUCUCAGAGCAUUUACCCUAGUCCAAUAAAGAUUUAAAUGAAAGCUGAAUUAAAAGAUGUUUUCAUUUGGUUAAACUGUUAGCAGUGAUCUCAAGCAUGCUA